rnacentral:rRNA from 1 species
UACGAAGGGGGGCUAGCGUUGCUCGGAAUCACUGGGCGUAAAGCGCACGUAGGCGGAUUGACAAGUCAGGGGUGAAAUCCCGGGGCUCAACCUCGGAACUGCCUUUGAUACUGUCAGUCUAGAGUCCGGAAGAGGUGGGUGGAAUUCCUAGUGUAGAGGUGAAAUUCGCAGAUAUUAGGAAGAACACCGGUGGCGAAGGCGGCCCACUGGUCCGGUACUGACGCUGAGGUGCGAAAGCGUGGGGAGCAAACAGG